rnacentral:lncRNA from 1 species
UCAGCGGCAUUUUCUGGGGUCUCCUGCAGACCCCUCAGCUGUGCCAUAACCAAACGCCACGUGCCUCAGCUUCCUCACGCCCCAAACUUUGGAAGGCAGGUCACAUGGAAUCUACACAUGGAAGGACAUAGGCAUUGCAUGCAGGUAUCCGGAAUCAUUGAUAUUGGUCUUAAAAUUUGGAAGUUUCCACUUUUGCUAAGCCAUGUGAGGACACAACAAGAAGGCAUCACCAAUGAAGAAUAGGCCUUCAUCAGACAUCCAAUCUGCAGGCCUCUUGAUCUUGGACUUCCUAAUCUACAGAAUUCACUUCUCCUUGCUGCUACCAUGUGAAGAAGAAUGUGUUUUCUUCCCCUUCUGCCAUGAUUGUAAAGGAGAAAAAAAAAAAGAUAGGGACGAAAUAAACAAGAAUGAGGUGAUGUUUGCCCACAUUGUGGGUCAAUGUUUUCAUAUAUUUAUCUCAUGUAAUUCUCAAACAACCAUGAAGCAUGAAGAAGAUAUUAUCUACCCUAUCUUCAGAUUAAACUUUGUUUACAAGGUAACAACCAAUUGCAGAGCUGCCUUUGAAUCUAAGUCUACCGAACUUCAAGAUCUAUACUCUGUUUGCUACAACAAGGUGCUUGGGAUAAGUAGACUUCAAUGAGCAGAGAAAUUGAUUGGAACUUGCAUGAAAUGAUGACAAGUUUUUCUGAUCAAAGGCCUUUGCUCUGCUAAUGCAUCAAAUUACAGGUGGUUUCCUCACAAACACUCAAUUUUUGCAGAGCUAUUCACACUUCAGGUGAAAGUAUAUUUUUUUUUCAAGGAUUAACCAUUAUUAUUGGCUUUUCAUAUGUUAACUAAAUCCAUGCUGUUGUUGGAGGCAGUGCUACAGUUUGAUGUGCUUGUUUGCCAUGAUGCAACUUGGUCGCCCUCUGGAGGCUAUUUUUAGGAUUGACUAGCAAGUCUUAAUUUUGAAGAAAGGUCUUAACAAUUUAACAACUCAUUUUAAAGGUGUGGAAAUUAUGUAUAUAUCAUACUUAAUUUUAAAGUUUCAAAGCAUUGGGUCCAAAAUAUUGAGAGACUAUUUUAAAAUGUUCAAUUUAACAUUUUAUGGCACAGAAUAUUUGGAAUUUCACUUUCCCUUUGGAAAUACAGAUGGUCAUGAUUCCCUUUUCAUCAUGGAAAAUCUAUC